rnacentral:rRNA from 1 species
UCGCCUGUUUAUCAAAAACAUGUCUUCUUGAUUAUAAUUUGAAGUCUGACCUGCCCACUGAAUUUUAAUUUGAAGGGCCGCGGUAUUUUGACCGUGCAAAGGUAGCAUAAUCAUUAGUCUUUUAAUUGGAGGCUAGAAUGAAUGGUUGGACGAGGCAUUGACUGUCUCAGUGUGGAUGAUAUUAGAAUUUAACUUUUGAGUUAAAAGGCUUAAAUAAUUUUAAAGGACGAGAAGACCCUAUAGAGCUUCAUAUUUUGUAAGUAUUAUUUAUUUAGUAGAUUUUGUAUAGUAUUUUUAAGAGUAUUUUGUUGGGGUGAUAGGAAGAUAUAAUAAACUCUUUUUAGUUUAGUACCAUUGAUUUAUGAUUUAUUGAUCCAUUAUUAAUGAUUAUAAGACUAAGUUACCUUAGGGAUAACAGCGUAAUCUUUUUCGAGAGUUCUUAUCGACAAAAAGGGUUGCGACCUCGAUGUUGGAUUAAGAGUAAUUUUGGGUGUAGAAGUUCAAAGUUUAGGUCUGUUCGACCUUUAAAUUCUUACAUGAUCUGAGUUCAAACCGGAGA